rnacentral:rRNA from 1 species
CCUACGGGUGGCAGCAGUAGGGAAUAUUGCUCAAUGGGGGAAACCCUGAAGCAGCAACGCCGCGUGGAGGAUGACGGUUUUAGGAUUGUUAACUCCUUUUUUUAGAGGAGAUAAUGACGGUAUCUCACGAAUAAGCACCGGCUAACUCCGAGCCAGCAGCCGCGGUAAUACGGAAGGUGCAAGCGUUACUCGGAAUCACUGGGCGUAAAGCGGGCGGAGGCGGGUUUGUAAGUGAGAUGUGAAAUCCUGUAGCUUAACCACAGAACUGCAUUUGAAACUGUGAGUCUAGAGUGUGGGAGAGGUAGGUGGAAUUCGUGGUGUAGGGGUAAAAUCCGUAGAUAUCAAGAGGAAUACUCAUUGCGAAGGCGACCUACUGGAACAUUACUGACGCUGAUGCACGAAAGCGUGGGGAGCAAACAGGAUUAGAUAACCCUGUAGUC